GUGUUUGGAUGGAAACCCAGAUGCUAGAGCAUUAGAGGAGGGUUUCUAACAGGAGAUAACCUACUCCAAAGCUACAGUUUCCACGACUGCACACCACAAAUAUCCACCUGUAAUAUUUUCCUAUUCUGGCACUCAUUUUUUCCGUGGCACAUUUGCCAAGAGCUGAUCACAGAGCGGUAGUGUCUUUAAUCAGGCUCUACGGGCUGUAAAGUGAGAGAAUCUAAACGUGACGUCAAUGCCUAGUAACUGACGCAGCCCUUCAACAAAAAUGGCUUUUUAUUUAUUAUUUUUUCUUCUUCUCGUCAGCAAAGCUUGAUUACUCCAAUUUUACAGUGUUCCGUCGACUGAAAAGAAAAGAGAAAAUCCCACAAGAAGCGUUGGGUAAUCCGCGUUCAUCAGUAUUUGGACCUAUUUUGCGUUCAUGAGUUUGAGCUGCUGAAGUGACACUGGGACGAGAAGCUUCUGAAGAGGGCGACAAGACAGCAGAUAUGUCGAUGAUAUUGGCAGCGACGACGAGUUCCAGAUUUUUAGUUGUAGAGGGGAGGAAAGUAGUGAGGUUUACGGAUGCAAAGGAGGUGGUGGUGGUGCUGUUGAAGGCACACUGGGUUCCAAAAAAAAAAAAAAUCACUGCAAUGAUGCAACGGAGGGGAAUCGGGGCUCUUGUGCAGAGUUGGAGAGGCAAAAUUAAUUUACAUUACAUGCACUUCACGUAACGUUCCUAAGCGAUGCCUUUUGUGAGUGUUUUUUUUUUCUCCUUCCUCGUACUGUGACCUAAAAAUAGCAACAUAGUUUUGAUCGUGCGCCAGAAAUAGACAGACGGGUAUCACUUGUAUAAAAAGGGAGGCGAUCCUGAGCAAACUUGGACGUGCCACUUUUAGGACCGGGACGUGCCUGCACCAUGCGAGGGGAACCCUUCUCUGAUGAGCGCUUAAGGACGCCUUUCCCUCCGUUUUUUCUUGCUUUUAAGAGGAGUCGUACUGGCAGAGAAGCGACGGUGGAGGAGGAAGAGAGGAGUGAAGUGAGGAGCUGUUGCUGCAGCAGAGACCAGGCGCACCGCAUGGGGAAACCCGGGAGCUGUCCAGCAGCAAUGGAGGGAACAAUGACAACUACAAAAUACAAGAUGGAAACGAGGUGACUUGUGUGCCCGGGUGGACCCCCCGCCGCCCCUGCUGCUGAUGAUGCUGAUGCUGUUGGAGCCCCCAGCUGUGCGCCGGAGAAAAAGGGGGGACCCACGUUUUGGAUGUUUUCACUGAGGAGUGCACAGACAGAAGGAGAGACACCGACCGAGCGCCCGGCCGACCUUCCUCCUCCUCCCUCUUCCUCAUCCCGACAAAGGGGCCCGAGGUGAGGAUUGACAGAGGGGAAAUCCUGACUGACUGAAACCCGGCUGAUGACGUCUCCUCUUCCUCCUCCUCAGUUUUUUACCUCCUCUUCCUUCAGUUUCUCCUCUUCCUUCUCUCCACUUUUUGCUUUCUUCUCCCUCCUUCACCCCCUUCUCCUUCUUCUCCCCAGCCUGUUUUUCUCCUCCUCUUCCUCCUCCUCCUGCUCUUCAUGCUCCCCCCUCUCGUGCUGUAGGAUUAAGGGGACCUGGUGAGUGCAAUUCCAUGGCCCUGAAGUGACAACAAGACUUGGUCUGUGGACCACAGCUGCAGGACCAAAGUUAUGUCCCUGGUAGGGAGGGAGGAGGCAGCUGGAAGCUCCCGUCAGCCAACACCUUCUUCUUUUUUUUUCCAGUAGCACCACCCGAAACCCUGGAAGUCAAUCCGGUUUGAGUGGGACACACCCGCCCCUGUGCCCUCAGAUCCAGGGAGAGUCCGGGGAGGAUAAACAGAUGAACAGGACGAUGUGACAACAGCUGUAUACGUUCAACACUGUUCACUCAGCUGGAUGUGAUACACACAUACAGAUGCAGCUGCUGCAGAUGUGCUGCUGGGAUCAGAUAGGGCUCUGUUGGACUGCGAGGACACGACCUUAGAGUGGACUCUCAGAAACGUCCCGUAGGAGUGUGUGUAUGUGUGUCUGUUUGUGUGUAGCAUUUGUGCAAUUUCUUUCUUUCUUUCUUUCUUUCUUAUUUUUUUGAUUGUUAUUUUGUGUCAUUUUGUUGGUUGUGUUACACUACACUGAAAUGCUGUGUAUUUGCUGUUUACUGGGAAAAUAUUUGUGUGCUAAAAAACAAACAAAACAAACAAAAAAAAAAACAAAACCCAAAAAACUAGGUCCACAUUAGAGGCUGUAAAUUGAUGUAUAUCAUUUUUUAUUUUAGAUGAAUUUGUAAUAUUUGCUGUGCACUGAAGCCAGAAUUCAAAAUGUGGAUUUUUGUGAGGAUUAUUUUGUGAAAGAUUUUUUGUAAAUAUACAUUUUUGAGCUGCACAUUGUUACUGUGACUGAGUGACAUCUGGUCAGUGAUAUGUUUAAUUUCAUCCCGUUUGAAAUUGUUACACAACUUGCUGCUCCCUGCUGCCGGUGUCACGUUGACUCCGGUCUCUCCACUUGUGUCAAAGAAUGCGAGCAGCUGCGUGAUGACUGUCAGCGUGUAGACACAGUUUCAUACUCCUCUCCCUCUGUUCAGUACAUGACAGGCUUUGCCUUGUGCCACACAGCCUCGGUUUGUCAGGAUUUCAUGUUUAGUUUGGGUGUGUGUGUGUGAGAGAGAGAGAGAGAGAGAGAGAGAGAGAGAGAGGCAGAGGGAGAGGGAGCAUGGCGGCUCAGGGGUGUGUGUUGCAGACUUUUGCAAAUAGCCUCUCUGGGUCGGAGUGGGGAGCACACACUGCUGAGGAGAAAAUCGUGACAGUGGUUUGUGCUGAAACAUCCUGCAUCUGAAAGCGUGACUGACUUAUUCAUGUGCAUAGAAAUGUUUAAAAAAAAAACAUAAAAACAGUGAAAUAAAGCGAUGGAAAUCCA